UUCCGGUUGAUCCUGCCGGAGGUCACUGCUAUUGGAGUUCGAUUAAGCCAUGCGAGUCAAUAGUUCUUCGUGAACUAGGCGGACUGCUCAGUAACACGUGGGUAAUCUACCCUCAGGUCAGGGAUAACCCCGGGAAACUGGGAAUAAUACCUGAUAGGUGAAGAUGUCUGGAACGAUACUUCGCCCAAAGCCCCGGCGCCCGAGGAUGAGCCUGCGGCCGAUUAGGUUGUUGGCGGUGCAACGGACCACCAAGCCUUUGAUCGGUACGGGUGGUGAGAGCCAUAGCCCGGAGAUGGGGGCUGAGACACGGCCCCAGGCCCUACGGGGCGCAGCAGGCGCGAAAACUACGCAAUGCGCGAAAGCGUGACGUGGGAACUCCAAGUGCCUUGCCUUAGGGUAAGGCUUUUGUUCAGUGUAAGUAGCUAAACGAAUAAGUGCUGGGUAAGACCGGUGCCAGCCGCCGCGGUAACACCGGCAGCGCAAGUAGUGACCGCUUUUAUUGGGCCUAAAGCGUCCGUAGCCGGUCCGGUAAGUCUUUGGGUAAAUCCUUCGGCUUAACCGAGGGAAUUCCGAAGAUACUGCCAGACUUGGAGUUGAGAGAGGUCAGAGGUACCUCCGGUGUAGGGGUGAAAUCCUAUAAUCCUGGAGGGACCACCAGUGGCGAAGGCGUCUGACUAGAGCAAGCUCGACGGUGAGGGACGAAAGCCAGGGGCGCGAACGGGAUUAGAUACCCCGGUAGUCCUGGCCGUAAACGCUGCGCGCUAGGUGUUGCAUGCUCUACGAGGGCGUGCAGUGCCGAAGAGAAGUUGAUAAGCGUGCCGCCUGGGAAGUAUUACCGCAAGGUAGAAACUUAAAGGAAUUGGCGGGGGAGCACCACAAGGGGUGGAGUCUGCGGUUCAAUUGGAUUCAACGCCGGG
rnacentral:rRNA from 1 species